rnacentral:rRNA from 1 species
GGGGCGUGCUAUACAUGCAAGUCGAGCGGACAGAAGGGAGCUUGCUCCCGGAUGUUAGCGGCGGACGGGUGAGUAACACGUGGGUAACCUGCCUGUAAGACUGGGAUAACUCCGGGAAACCGGAGCUAAUACCGGAUAGUUCCUUGAACCGCAUGGUUCAAGGAUGAAAGACGGUUUCGGCUGUCACUUACAGAUGGACCCGCGGCGCAUUAGCUAGUUGGUGAGGUAACGGCUCACCAAGGCGACGAUGCGUAGCCGACCUGAGAGGGUGAUCGGCCACACUGGGACUGAGACACGGCCCAGACUCCUACGGGAGGCAGCAGUAGGGAAUCUUCCGCAAUGGACGAAAGUCUGACGGAGCAACGCCGCGUGAGUGAUGAAGGUUUUCGGAUCGUAAAGCUCUGUUGUUAGGGAAGAACAAGUGCAAGAGUAACUGCUUGCACCUUGACGGUACCUAACCAGAAAGCCACGGCUAACUACGUGCCAGCAGCCGCGGUAAUACGUAGGUGGCAAGCGUUGUCCGGAAUUAUUGGGCGUAAAGGGCUCGCAGGCGGUUUCUUAAGUCUGAUGUGAAAGCCCCCGGCUCAACCGGGGAGGGUCAUUGGAAACUGGGAAACUUGAGUGCAGAAGAGGAGAGUGGAAUUCCACGUGUAGCGGUGAAAUGCGUAGAGAUGUGGAGGAACACCAGUGGCGAAGGCGACUCUCUGGUCUGUAACUGACGCUGAGGAGCGAAAGCGUGGGGAGCGAACAGGAUUAGAUAC